UAGGGAAUCUUCGGCAAUGGACGGAAGUCUGACCGAGCAACGCCGCGUGAGUGAAGAAGGUUUUCGGAUCGUAAAGCUCUGUUGUAAGAGAAGAACGAGUGUGAGAGUGGAAAGUUCACACUGUGACGGUAUCUUACCAGAAAGGGACGGCUAACUACGUACCAGCAGCCGCGGUAAUACGUAGGUCCCGAGCGUUGUCCGGAUUUAUUGGGCGUAAAGCGAGCGCAGGCGGUUAGAUAAGUCUGAAGUUAAAGGCUGUGGCUUAACCAUAGUACGCUUUGGAAACUGUUUAACUUGAGUGCAAGAGGGGAGAGUGGAAUUCCAUGUGUAGCGGUGAAAUGCGUAGAUAUAUGGAGGAACACCGGUGGCGAAAGCGGCUCUCUGGCUUGUAACUGACGCUGAGGCUCGAAAGCGUGGGGAGCAAACAGGAUUAGAUACCCUGGUAGUCCACGCCGUAAACGAUGAGUGCUAGGUGUUAGACCCUUUCCGGGGUUUAGUGCCGCAGCUAACGCAUUAAGCACUCCGCCUGGGGAGUACGACCGCAAGGUUG
rnacentral:rRNA from 1 species